rnacentral:rRNA from 1 species
CUUCGGAACUAGAGACCGGCGCACGGGUGCGUAACGCGUAUGCAAUCUACCUUUCACAGAGGGAUAGCCCAGAGAAAUUUGGAUUAAUACCUCAUAGUAUAAUGAGUUGGCAUCAACACAUUAUUAAAGUCACAACGGUGAAAGAUGAGCAUGCGUCCCAUUAGCUAGAUGGUAAGGUAACGGCUUACCAUGGCAACGAUGGGUAGGGGUCCUGAGAGGGAGAUCCCCCACACUGGUACUGAGACACGGACCAGACUCCUACGGGAGGCAGCAGUGAGGAAUAUUGGACAAUGGGCGCAAGCCUGAUCCAGCCAUGCCGCGUGCAGGAUGACGGUCCUAUGGAUUGUAAACUGCUUUUGUACAGGAAGAAACACUGGUUCGUGAACCAGCUUGACGGUACUGUAAGAAUAAGGAUCGGCUAACUCCGUGCCAGCAGCCGCGGUAAUACGGAGGAUCCAAGCGUUAUCCGGAAUCAUUGGGUUUAAAGGGUCCGUAGGCGGCUUAGUAAGUCAGUGGUGAAAGCCCAUCGCUCAACGGUGGAACGGCCAUUGAUACUGCUAAACUUGAAUUAUUAGGAAGUAACUAGAAUAUGUAGUGUAGCGGUGAAAUGCUUAGAGAUUACAUGGAAUACCAAUUGCGAAGGCAGGUUACUACUAAUGGAUUGACGCUGAUGGACGAAAGCGUGGGUAGCGAACAGGAUUAGAUACCCUGGUAGUCCACGCCGUAAACGAUGGAUACUAGCUGUUGGAAGCGAUUUCAGUGGCUAAGCGAAAGUGAUAAGUAUCCCACCUGGGGAGUACGUUCGCAAGAAUGAAACUCAAAGGAAUU